rnacentral:tRNA from 1 species
UUUAGAGGUAUAGCUCAGUGGUUGAGUAUUUGCCUACUCUGCUUAAGGCCCUGGAUUCUAUCCCCAGCUCUGAAA